UUCUUGCCUACUGCUCGCUUUUUGUGCCUUGAGGGGUCAAGUGGCCAACAUCACCAACAUAAGAUGUGGUGCCUAACAAUAGCCUUGGUGGCGUUAAGCUCCCAACAUCUACUGCCUGGAACUCUUGCUGGCCAACAUCACCUCCAUGGCGCAAAAUCACUUGUGUUUGACUGGUGGGUUCAGUUCUUCCGGUGUCAUCUGGUGGGUUCUCAUCAUGAGGUUCAGCUGAUUCGGCCAUGUUUUUGGGGAACCAUUGUUUAGUGGUAUUUUUCCGAGGUUUCCGUUUCCUGAAAAAACACAAAAAAUAACAUUAUGAAGUAACAAUAGGGAAGAUGAAGCUGCAAUUCAAUAUAUAUGGCUUGCCUUUUUUUGGAGCCAUUAAGAGGGCAUUUUGGGUUGGCCUUCCUAUGUCCAAGUUGUCCACAGUUCGGGCAUUUAAUUUUUCCUCUUAGGAGCUUCUUCUCCUUUUCCUCUACAGGUAGGGAUUGUUUCUUCUUUGCAGCACCACCUUCUAAGCAACUUUUCAUCCGAUUCUUCUUUUGCCGACCAACGCUCCUCUUACCAAUAGGGGCAUUCACUUCAUUGGCUAUGGCCACAUGUGGCCAAAACGACUUGUCGCCCACAUUUUCAAUGGUUCGCGCGUAAGCCUUUUUAAAUUUGCAACAGAUAAGUAGUCGUCUACAAAGUGCUCCAUUCCAACUUCUCGCAUUUGUUGCGCUACAAUGACCACUAGGCCGUGCUGGCAGGGUUUUCCCGUGUGCUGCCAUUCGAGACAUGAACAAUAUCUUUGUUCUGCCUUUACAACGUGUCUGCAAUGAAUAUUGUUGUUAUCACGGAUCUCAGCAUGAUAAUAAUCACCCUUUUGUAUAGAUAAAUGACCCAACCCCUGGUUCUAGCCUUCAACGAAUUGAUGACUAUUGGAAGGAUUUUACCUCCCAAUUUGUCCCCGAUCCUUUUCCUUCUAAAAAAUAGUUCCAUAACCAAACAUCUUAAGUAUGUAUUCUGUGAACAAUUUUUGUUUGUGGCAGUACCUUAAGUAUGUAUUCUGUGAACAAAGCUUAUGUUGUGUGAACAAUCUCUGUUUGUGGCAGUGAACAAUUUCUGUUUGUACCUUAAGUAUGAAAAUGCAGAGCUUGUGUUGUCAGCUCAGUUAAGUCUCUGUUUAACUGCCAUUUCUGUCCAAAAAGCUCUUGUGAUGCCAUUCUUUUUUUGUGAUGUACAGAUUUUAGCAGAUCUGUUCAGAUGGACAGGAGGCAUCCUUACACUUUCUGAUAAUUUUCUAUAGGUUUCUCGAUUACUAUAGUCAAUUUGAUUGGGAUGCUAAGGGAAUCAGCUUGUUUGGUCCUGUUUCCUUAUCUUCACUACCUGAUCUAGUUAGUAAGUCAAUGAACUCUGAACGACCCGGUAUGUUGGCUUGUUGCAACUUAAAUUUGUUGAUAAUUGACAUGGGUUUUUAUUCAACAGCUGACCCUCCAGCUAUUCAUGAUGAUUGACAUGGGUUUUUCUUCUGCAGGAAAAGUUUCUCAGAGAAUGUGCAGAUGCAUUUAGACCAGAUGUUUUAGUGAGCUCAUCUGAUGAUGGUACAUUGACUUAUCAU
rnacentral:lncRNA from 1 species